rnacentral:rRNA from 1 species
GGGAGCUUGUACAGGUGCUGCAUGGCUGUCGUCAGCUCGUGUCGUGAGAUGUUCGGUUAAGUCCGCUAACGAGCGCAACCCUCGCUGUGUGUUACAAGUGUCACACGGAACUGCCGGUCAUAAACCGGAGGAAGGUGGGGAUGACGUCAAGUCAGCAUGGCCUUUAUAUCCUGGGCUACACACACGCUACAAUGGGAAGGGACAAUAGGUUGCGAAGCCGCGAGGCGGAGCCAAUCCAGCAAAACUUCCCUCAGUUCAGAUUGCAGGCUGCAACUCGCCUGCAUGAAGUUGGAGUUGCUAGUAAACGCAGGUCAGCCAUACUGCGUUGAAUACGUUCCCGGGGCUU